UUGUUGUGGUUAAAAAGCUCGUAGUUGGAUCUCGGCGGACUGAGGGCGGUUUGCUUGCUAGUAUUACUGCCCUAUAGUCCGUAGUUUUGCCAGAGGUUUCGGGGUGCUCUUAAUCGAGUGUCCCGGGGUGCUGGCAGGUUUACUUUGAAAAAAUUAGAGUGCUCAAAGCAGGCUAUUACGCCUGAAUAUUCGUGCAUGGAAUAAUAGAAUAGGAAGUCGUUUCUAUUUUGUUGGUUUUCGGAAAUCGACUUAAUGAUUAAUAGGGACAGUCGGGGGCAUUUGUAUUCAAACGACAGAGGUGAAAUUCUUGGACCGUUUGAAGACAAACUACUGCGAAAGCAUUUGCCAAGAAUGUUUUCAUUAAUCAAGAACGAAAGUUAAAGGUUCGAAGGCGAUUAGAUACCGCCCUAGUUUUAACCAUAAACGAUGCCAGCUAGCGAUCUGCGGACGUUUUUUUUGUAGACUCCGCAGGAAGCUUCCGGGAAACCAAAGCAUUUGGGUUCCAGGGGAAGUAUGGUUGCAAAGCUGAAACUUAAAGGAAUUGACGGAAGGCACCACCAGAGUGGAGCCUGUGGCUUAAUUGACUCACACGGAAUCUCACCAGCCGACCUGAAGAUGACAGAUGA
rnacentral:rRNA from 1 species